CCGUCAAAGCGGGCUGUCGUAGAGUGUUCAUUUUCUUUGACUAUCACAGCCAGCUUUGAUGAGCA